GAGCUCACUUCGGCAGCACAUAUACUAAAACUGAAACAAUCCAGAGAUUAGCAUGGCCCCUGCACAAGAAUGACACACAAAUUUGUGAAGCGUUCCAUAUUAAA
rnacentral:snRNA from 1 species